rnacentral:piRNA from 1 species
UAACAUCUAAGCUAGUAAAUGAAGG